rnacentral:lncRNA from 1 species
AGCCUGGAACUUAAGACUGGGACCCGAGCUGUUGGGGAAUCGGCCUCGGGGCAGCAGCCGAAGUGAGGAACUGGGUCCCACAGGAAAACGGGACUAAGGACAGCAGGGGUGUGUGGCCAGCCCUGGAAGGGGCGGGGCCAGGGGCAAACAGCCACAAGGGGCUGGGGCUGGAGGCGCUCAAAAGCGGAGAAGGCGGAGUCCCAGGCCCAGCCGGCGGUACCGCUGGGAAGUGAGGGCGCCUUGGACGGCGAGGGCAACUCUUAUCAGUUUGACUGUCUGAAAUGCAGCACGGCGCUAGGCGCUCUCCAGACCUCCCUGUGACUCCAACAGGCUGUGACCUUGGCGUGGGGGUCUGGAAUACGUGUGGGCGCUGGUGCGGGGGAGAGGGAAUGGCGACGCGGAAGAGCAGGACAGACGCGGAGGGUCAGAGAGCAGCUUUAUUAAGCAAGCUGGUGGAGGGCUGUGGGUCCCACCACCCCCGGGCUCGGCGCCAGGGCGGAAGGUCCGGGGGUGCCGUUCAGGCCACGUCGACGCGAGCGAAGCUCUGGUCCAUGCCCAGGCUGUUCUCCACGUACACCUCGUACUUGCCGCUGUCCUGAGGCGUGGCCCGGCGAAUGGUCAGCGUCGUGGUGGUGCUGCCGAUCUCGAAGAACACCCUGCGGAAGGGCGGCGGGGAGGAGGGCGGAGCCGUGGUCAGUACACGGGCGCACUGGGCGGGGCUCCUUAGCCAGCUCUGUUCCUCGCUGCCCAGUCCCCGCCCCCGUCACUCCAGCCAGAUUUCUGGGCUCAGUCCCACCCAGGUUCCAGCCCCAGGCCCUGGCCGUGCCGCAGGUCCCGGCCCUCGCCUGUCAUCCUCCUCGAUGUCCUCCCCGUCCUUGGUCCAGCCUACGUCGGGCGCAGGCUCUCCCAGGAUCUCCGCAGUCAGCGUCACGGUGGUGCCUUUGCGCGCCUUAGUGUUGUCGGGUCCCUUUUGAAUCUUCGUCGGGACUAGCGGAAGGAAAGGGGAGCGAAACCCCGUGAAGGACCCGGAGAUGAGGCAGGGCAUCACCUCACCGGCUAAUACCCGGCACUAAAUACAGAUGCAUUUAAACUCGCA